rnacentral:rRNA from 1 species
UGCCAGCCGCCGCGGUAAUACGGAGGGUGCAAGCGUUAAUCGGAUUCAUUGGGCGUAAAGAGCGUGUAGGCGGUUUCUUAAGUCGGCUUUUAAAGACCACGGCUCAACCGUGGGAGUGGGGCCGAUACUGGGAAACUUGAGCGCAUCAGAGGCAAGCGGAAUUCCGGGUGUAGCGGUGAAAUGCGUAGAUAUCCGGAGGAACACCAGUGGCGAAGGCGGCUUGCUGGGGUGCUACUGACGCUGAGACGCGAAAGCCAGGGGAGCGAACGGGAUUAGAUA